rnacentral:rRNA from 1 species
UUCCGUAGGUGAACCUGCGGAGGGAUCAUUACCGAGUUAUCCAACUCCCAACCCCUGUGAAUUAUACCUUUAAUUGUUGCUUCGGCGGGACUUCGCGCCCGCCGGGGACCCAAACCUUCUGAAUUUUUUUAAUAAGUAUCUUCUGAGUGGUUUAAAAAAAAAUGAAUCAAAACUUUCAACAACGGAUCUCUUGGUUCUGGCAUCGAUGAAGAACGCAGCGAAAUGCGAUAAGUAAUGUGAAUUGCAGAAUUCAGUGAAUCAUCGAAUCUUUGAACGCACAUUGCGCCCGUCAGUAUUCUGGCGGGCAUGCCUGUUCGAGCGUCAUUACGCCCCUCAAGUCCCCUGUGGACUUGGUGUUGGGGAUCGGCGAGGCUGGUUUUCCAGCACAGCCGUCCCUUAAAUUAAUUGGCGGUCUCGCCGUGGCCCUCCUCUGCGCAGUAGUAAAGCACUCGCAACAGGAGCCCGGCGCGGUCCACUGCCGUAAAACCCCCCAACUUUUUAUAGUUGACCUCGAAUCAGGUAGGACUACCCGCUGAACUUAAGCAUAUCAAUAAGCGGAGGAAAA